rnacentral:lncRNA from 1 species
GCCGCGCUCUAUCGUUUCCUUUUUUCCUUCCGUUCCCUUAUCUUUUGUUCCAAUAUGAUUUGUCCGUAGUUCACCGUGCGCCUUUCUGGCUCGACGCCAACUUGGCCGGCUACCCGAGCCUGUAAAUGUGACCACUGCCGAUAGAUGCCGCUAAUGAUUAACCGCGAGUGACCUGAGAAGUAGUGCCGUCCGACACAAUAUAGCAUAAGCGUUUAUAUGUAUCUGUAAUUGCAAAUGCUCAAAAAUUGAUUGUUUCGGGUGCUUAUUUAUUCAACAAUAUUUCCAACACUGUUAUAAGUAUCCCGAUGUUGUGCGAUUUACUUUCGAGCUGCCACGUCAUGUGUUCGUGCGCGGGGCGUGUCGCAGUGACCGGCGACUGGGUCGCGGCGCCAUUGCUGGUCGAGAGGCGAUAAGCGUGUGACGUUGUGUGCUGUGCUCCGUCGCAACUGAUGGUAUGAUUCGAUGGUGACCGUCGUGUCAGGAGCGAGCCGCGUGGAAUGUCCCGCAGGAGGCGUUACCUGUCGGUAUGUAACGAAUGAUAUUGGUCCCUGGCACAUUGAAAUGUUAUUGCUGAACCCAUUUACUAUCGGAUUUGCAAGCUGAAGUUAGAUGUUAAUUAUCGGGAGAAUUGCCGCGCUGUUCGGAUUAUGUGAGGGGAUUGGCGCACGGUGACGUAAUUUGUCUCGUUAGUUUUAUUGUGUUAUUUGCUUUUGUUGUCGCCCGCGUUAUGUGCAUGUUUUGCUGUUUUCGUUGCAUUAAUUUUCGUACUGUUUGUUUCUACAGAAACGACCAAAUACAGGCCAGUUACGGCUGA